GGAGGUGGCUCGGGCCGCGCCGAGGGGACCACGGGACGCCCUCCUUCCCUUCUCAGGAAACUGUAUUUCUUUAUAGCAGUACAAGAAGAGCCGAAUACACCACCCAUUGAGCAGAUUGGAAGUGCAAGAAAACUAGCAUAUGCCCCCAUCCUGGAAGCAACCUCAGCCAACACAUGUUGGGAAACGACAGAAAAAGACCCCGGCCUUCCUCACUCUUCCGGUGGGAUGACCCUGAGUCUCCAAGCUCUCAUUGCAGUCACUGGCCUGAUAAUAUCUUCCACUCUCUGUCUUCACUCCCUCUCCCCUCCCACUGCUCCCUGGGACUCACCCCCGCCCACCCUCCCCAAACACAAAAGCUUUGCGGUAAAAUCACGGUCUCAAGGUCUGCUUUGGGGAGAAAAGAGUCACCUCCUUGAAAUCUAGACUUUCUGUGCUUCCAGAAAACAUGUUGAAACGUUACCUGUCAAUUAAAUUCCGGGAAGCCUGGGUGUGUCACACUUUGAAUCAUGUGGACAGACACCAUGAAGAGCCUGGAGUUUGGUGAACUUUGUUGAAACCCCUCCAUCACUCUCGUGGUCGAAUCCAAUCCAAUCCUCAUGUCCUCAUGAGUUCGUUUUCAUUUCCUAAAUGACAUCCAUGGAAAAAUAAUGGGGAGAGAGGAAACACAAUUUUACAUUUGUAUCUGACAGGCUCUGAAAGGGAGCUAGAGAAUGUAGUUAGCAUCCAUAAAUUAUGGAAGAGGGUAUUUCCCAUCUUCUUAACACAUGCAACACUUCUAAGGGGCCUGCAAAAACCCCAGCAGCCUUUCAAUGUCCCCCACAUCUUAGCACACAUAAAUAUUUACAUCUGUCCUAUCAAGAAACAAAUAUGCAUGCAUAUCAUUAUUUUGGAGAUAUAGCGUGAGCACUUUGUUUGCAAGAAAAAAAUAUGCAUGCAUAUCAUUUUGGAGAUAUAGUGUGAGCACUUAUAUUUGUUUGCAAGAAACAAAUAUGCAUGUAUAUCAUUAUUUUUGGAGAUACAGUGAAUGCACUUUUCAGUUACAUGCUCAAAAUGGUAUGCUAAACUGAAAGUGGUUGUCAUUACCCUUAAUUUCUGCAAGGAAUAAACAAGUAUGUCCUGGUGGCACAUUGCUAUGAAUAAAGCAGACUAUUUCAGGGCUAUGGGAGUUCUAUGGAAAGCGUGAGCCAAAACAUGGUUUUUCCUGUGUCUUGUUUAUGAUGCUUAUUCAUAAUGGGAGGGAACAGAAUAUUGGCUUCAUUCAUGUCCUUGAUUUAUGAUGGAAUCCAUAGGAAUCUGCCACCUUGGGUGAAUGAGCAAUACCUAAAGGAAUGUCCUAUAAGAUACCGAGAUAUGCCACCCAAAAUAUGACUUAGGAGACCAAGAUACGCCACCCAAAAUAUGACUUAGGAGACCAAGAUUGCGAUUUUUAUAAAAAGCUCAUCAGCAAUCAUUAGGGUUAGUGGGCUUUUUUGGUUUUUUUUUUGUUUUUGUUUUUGUUUGUUUGUUUGAGACAGAGUCUCACUCUCUGUCACCCAGGCUGGAGUGCAGUGACAUGAUUUUGGCUCACUGCACACUACAACCUCCAUCUCCCAGGCUAAACCAAUUCUCGUGCCCCAGCCUCCCGAGUAGCUGGGAGUACAGGUGUGCACCACCGCACCUGGCUAAUUUUUGCAUUUUCCUUUUAGUAGAGAUGGGGUUUCACCGUGUUGACCAGGCUGGUCUCAAACUCCAGGCCUCCAGGAAUCCACCUGCCUUGGCCACCCAAUGUGUUGGGAUUACGGGAAGGAGCCACUGCACCUGGCCAGUGUAUGUUUGUAAGGCUCACCCACACUGUAGCAUGUGUCAGCACUUGAAACCUUUUUCUGCCUGAAUCACAUUCCACUGUAUGGAUAUGCCAUAUUUUGUUAAAUCCGUUCAUUGGCUGAGGGACGUUUGGGUCACCUUCACUUUUUGGCUAUUUUGAGUAGUGCAGCUAUCAACAUUACGUGUAUAAAUGUACAAGCUAUUUGGUGGACACGUGUUCUCGUUUUUCUCUUGAGUAUGUGCCCAGAAGCAGAAUUGCUGGCUCAUAGGGUGAUGUGGUUUGGCUGUGUCCCCACCCAAAUCUCAUCUUGAAUUCCCAUGUGUUGUGGGAGGUAAUUGAAUCAUGGGGACAGGUCUUUCCCAUGCUGUACUCAUGGUAGUGAAUAAGUCUCAUGAGAUCUGAUGAUUUUAUAAAAGGGAGUUUUCCUGCACAAGCUCUCUCUUUGCCUGCUACCAUCCAUGUAAGACGUGACUUGCUUCUCCUUGCCUUCUGCCAUGAUUGUGAGGCCUCCCCAGCCACAUGGAACUAUAAGUUCAUUAAACCUCUCUUUCUUCUGUUAGUUGCCCAAUUUUGGGUAUGUCUUUAUCAGCAGUGUGAAAACAAACUACUACAUAUGGUAUGUCUUCGGUUAACCUUUUGAGGAAACAUCAGACUCUUCCAUCUCUGUAUCUUUCCAAUUUCAAUCUAAACGGACUCAAAUCUGACUCUUAGACUCCACUCCCCUGGGAAAUGUGAUGUCGGCUAUUAUUGCGGUUCCCUCUCCUCCCUAGAGUCUCCUAAGAAUUUGGGUCAUGCUCCAUUUUCAGACAAUUUGAAAAUUGGUCUGUUAUGGUCUCUGCUCUGAAAAGCUUCAUUCUCAUCCCACCUCCUGCCCCGGCUUCCAGCAGCCUCCCUUAAAAUUCUGGGGAUGCAGACAUCUGUGCUGAGGCUGAGAAGCCAGGAGCCUGGAGACCAGCGUCCCUGGGCAGGUGCAGUGGAACCAGCUGGCCAUGUGCCAAAAUUCCUGUGACCCUUCCCUGGUACUGUGCUGUCUUUGCUGAGAGCUGGCCGCCUGCUCAGGGGUCCCUAAGUCUUACACUGGACAACUGGAUGAGUGAGAAAUAAUUAUUUAAUUGUUAAGCCACAGAAAUUCCAGGGCUCAUGUGUUACAGCCAGUCAUUUCUCAUGAACUAAUACAGUAGAUGGCUUGGAUCAACCCCCUCUGAUGGGAUGCUGCUUCUCUUCUCGGUUGGUGGAAAAAGAAUUUCCAUCAGUCUCUCUCUCCUUGUCUCUCUCUCUCUCUCUUUAUUCCUUUUCCUUUCUGUCUCCAUCUCCCUCUCCCUGACUCUUCUGGCCCCUCCCUACCAUUGUCAGAUAAAAUAUCAGGUUGCACACGGUAACGCACGUCUGUAAUCCUAGCACUUUGGGAGACUAAGGCAGGAGGAUUUCUUGAGUUCAAGAGUUCAAGACCACCCUGGACAACAUAGUGAUACCUCGUCUCUACAAAACAAACAAACAAACAUAUUAGCUGAGCAUGGUGGCACACGCCUGUGAUUUUAGCUGGUCUGGAGGCUGAGGUGGGAGGAUUGCUUGCCCCCAGGAUGUCAAGGCUGCAGUGAGCUGUGAUGGCACCACUUCUUUCUAGCCUGGGUGACAGAACAAGACCCCCAUUUCAAAAAAAAAAAGACACAACAUCAUCAAAAAUUGUACUUAAAUAUAAAAGUUUGAAUACUGAAAAGUCUCCCACAGCAAGCAGGCUUUAAAACUCCAAAAUCUAUCUGUACACAGCACUUUUUUUUUUUUCACUCUUCUCAGAUCUAAGAACGAUGACAGGUGGCCAUGGUGCCUCGUGUCCCCUUGCAGGGGUGCAGGGGUACACACACCUUUUUUUUUUUUUUUUUUAAUUUGAGAUGGAAUCUCGCUCUGUCGCCCAGGCUGGAGUGUAGUGGUGAGAUCUCGGCUCACUGCAAACUCCGCCUUCCGGGUUCACGCCAUUCUCCUGCUUCAGCCUCCCGAGUAGCUGGGACUACAGGCGCCCGACCAUCACGCCAGGCUAAUUUUUUGUACUUUUAAUAGAGACGGGGGUUUCACCAUGUUGGCCAGGCUGGUCUCGAACUCCUGACCUCGUGAUCCUCCCGCCUCGGCCUCCCAAAGUGCUGGGAUGACAGGCGUGAGCCACCGUACCCAGCCUCGGUGAAAACCUCAGAGGCAGGCAGCAUAUUCCCUGCCGAGCCGGUAGGUGGCGCAGUCAGAUAAGCAUUAACUAAAUCACAGCUCCCUCUCCCCAUCAGAAUCUUUAUCUAGAGGGUAACCCCAAACCUGAGAAUUUGGUCAGGUCCGCACACACACAGGCAUCAUCAUUCUUCAGCGCCAUCAUGAAGGGCUCUUCUCCCCCUGUUAAAGGAAACUAUCACAUAGUCUUCCGAAACAGCCAGUCAAAAACUUUGUGAUGCAGGAAAGAACAAAAAAAAAUUAAAGGACGAUUACAGAAUAAAUAUUUACAUUUCUGCCUGUAACACGGACUCUGAAGCAUUGGAAUAAUGAGGACUUGCACACCGCAAAUGGGCAUCAAAAUCGGGCUUUAUACUUGAAAAAUGAAGUUUUGUGUCAAAGAAAAGGGACAUUUCAAACACCACAUUUAUGUUUGACCCACAUAUACAUGUGAUUUUAGCUGGUCUGAUAUUAUAUUAUAUUAUAUAUAUAUAUAUUUGUUUGUUUGUUUGUUUUGAGACAGAGACUCACUCUGUCGCCCAGGCUGGAGUGUUGUGGAGCAAUCUCGGCUCACUGCAGUCUCCGCCUCCUGGGUUCAAGUGAUUCUCCCGCCUCAGCCUCCCGAGUAGUUAGGACUACAGGCGCCUGCUUCCGUGCCCUGCUAAUUUUUGCAUUUUUAGUAGAGACGGGGUUUCACCAUGUUGGCCAGGCCGGUCAUGAACUCCUUGACUUCAGGUGAUCCACCUGCCUCGGCCUCCCAAAGUGCUGGGAUUACAGGCGUGAGCCACUGCACCUGGCCAGUACCUUUAUACCCUUCUGGAAAGAGAACAUGUUCCUUCCCCUGUUGACACUGAAUUAUGUCAACAGUUCUCCCCCAAGUAAUGCAUGGGUUUAAAUCACACAGGUGAUUUCAACUUGCUGCCCCCACUAUUUCAUUUGACAAAGGACACAGUCCUGCCUACCUGAGAGGCAGUGGCUCUACGUAAAAAGUUUUAACACACAGGAAACACCAUUAAAGGGUUAGUGACUAACCCAUAUUUCCUGUUUUUUUGGUUUGUUUGUUUGUUUUCCCCACACAUCCCCACUGGCCUGAAUGAGACCUCAAGGUGUCUCAUUCUUACUUUAUCUUACAAUCACUCUGAUGGUCAAGAAGCUUGAGCACAUGGGAAUUCUUAAAUCAAGGCACAUGAUUGUUACAAAGAAUAGACGCUGAGGUGGGCGGAUCACCUGAGGUCAGGAGUUCAAGACCAG
rnacentral:lncRNA from 10 species